rnacentral:rRNA from 1 species
GACGAACGCUGGCGGCGCGCCUAAUACAUGCAAGUCGAGCGAGAAGACGUAGCAAUACGUUUGUAAAGCGGCGAACGGGUGAGGAAUACAUGGGUAACCUACCCUCGAGUGGGGAAUAACUAGCCGAAAGGUUAGCUAAUACCGCGUACGCUCCUUGGACUUCGGUUCAGGGAGGAAAGCGAUACCGUGGGUAUCGCGCUCUUGGAUGGGCUCAUGUCCUAUCAGCUUGUUGGUGAGGUAACGGCUCACCAAGGCUUCGACGGGUAGCUGGUCUGAGAGGACGAUCAGCCACACUGGCACUGCGACACGGGCCAGACUCCUACGGGAGGCAGCAGUAAGGAAUAUUGCGCAAUGGGCGAAAGCCUGACGCAGCGACGCCGCGUGGGGGAUGAAGGUCUUCGGAUUGUAAACCCCUUUCGGGAGGGAAGAUGGAACGAGCAAUCGUUCGGACGGUACCUCCAG